AGUGAACGCUUGCGGUAGGCCUAACACAUGCAAGUCGAACGGCAGCACAGUAAGAGCUUGCUCUUACGGGUGGCGAGUGGCGGACGGGUGAGGAAUACAUCGGAAUCUACUUUUUCGUGGGGGAUAACGUAGGGAAACUUACGCUAAUACCGCAUACGACCUACGGGUGAAAGCAGGGGAUCUUCGGACCUUGCGCGAUUGAAUGAGCCGAUGUCGGAUUAGCUAGUUGGCGGGGUAAAGGCCCACCAAGGCGACGAUCCGUAGCUGGUCUGAGAGGAUGAUCAGCCACACUGGAACUGAGACACGGUCCAGACUCCUACGGGAGACAGCAGUGGGGAAUAUUGGACAAUGGGCGCAAGCCUGAUCCAGCCAUACCGCGUGGGUGAAGAAGGCCUUCGGGUUGUAAAGCCCUUUUGUUGGGAAAGAAAAGCAGCAGGUUAAUACCCCGCUGUUCUGACGGUACCCAAAGAAUAAGCACCGGCUAACUUCGUG
rnacentral:rRNA from 1 species